AAUGUAAUUUUGCCGUCUUAAGAGAGGAAGUGAAAUUCACUUUAAUGAAGCCUGAUUUACUUAAGACACAGAAAUUUCACAUUGUGCAAAAUAUCAGAAUACUCUAUUCCCAAACACCAGUGAGAAAAAUAAACUAGCAACAAGGAAAGGGAUCACAAAAAAUGUGGCAACAGUUUUAAGCCUAAAUAAAAUAUCUGAGCAGAAUUAAACUGCAAUGGGUUCAACCCUCUGCAAAGGAAGACACUUAGUGGAAUAUUAGGGACAUUAGCUUUACAGAUACUGAAGCUGAAAAGGAAUCCGAUUGAACUGUAUUGUUAAGCUCCAUUUUCAGCAAUAUUGACCUCAAAACACAUACAAACAGCCUACAUUUUAGUUACUUCUCAGUAAAAAAUUCUUUAAAAAAUUAAUGUUGAAAAAUAUUUUUACAAUUUUACCUAUGCUUCAAAGAACGUAAAGACUCUUGUGUAUAUGUAUAGUAUACAUAUAUAUAUAUAUAUAUAUAUAUGAGAGACAUAAUUUGUGUUUUGCAAUUUCACAUUGUAGAGGUUUCUUUUCUAAAAGACUAUUAACUUAAUGGUACAACUAAUGAACAACAUGACUUCUUUCACCAGGAUUAAAAAAUGUUAUUAAAACUAAUGAAAGUUCUGAGUUUUACUCUGCUUGCAAGCUAAAAACUUAACUGUCACAGUUUCACAAAUGAUGGCAGAAGACACAAGACCCCUGGGACAGUGAUAAGGACUUUAUUUCUGAUGGCUUAGAAAGGAGCAGGGUCAUGAUAUUCAUCUUUGUCUCCCUUGCUCCUCAUGUACCACAGGGCUGAGGCGUAAUUGCUCAGCUGGAUGCCAUACUUGCUGAAGGUUUGCAUUAGAGCUGAGUCAGUCCCUGAAUCUCAUAUGCUCUUAUUAGUCACAGCAUCAGUUUAUUGAUGAUGAUAAUGAUAAAACUGCUGCUGCCGAUGAUGACAACAACACAUUGAGAGCUUCCUGUGGGUCAAGCUCUGCACUAAAUGAUUUUCAUUUAUUACCCUGUGAACUUUUCGCAUAACACCAUCAUGUGGGAUCUAUUGACAUUCCCAGAGGAGAUGAUGGAACUUACACAUAGGGAGCUUAAUUAACCUGUAAUCACUCUGCUGAAGUCCUUUCUUUCAUGAUGGAGUUAUUUCUAAUCUGGGUACUCUGAGAGACAGCUGGUCAAAUUUCUCCUCAAAAGCCUUAAAACUACCCAAACAGGUAAAGCUCUCUCGAUGAAAUCACACAAGACUGGCAAAUUUUACUAUUGUGUUCCAUUAUACUG
rnacentral:lncRNA from 1 species